GCAUUAAUGGGGUAGUGGUAACCUGGGUCGUUGCCAUACCUCCAUGUUACACACCUGUUGUUUGACUCGACCCGCCGGGGGUUCGAUUCCCUCUUAAUGCA